rnacentral:rRNA from 1 species
AUUGAACGCUGGCGGCAGGCCUAACACAUGCAAGUCGGGCGGAUGAAGGGAGCCUGCUCCUGGAUUCAGCGGCGGACGGGUGAGUAAUGCCUAGGAAUCUGCCUGGUAGUGGGGGAUAACGUCCGGAAACGGGCGCUAAUACCGCAUACGUCCUGAGGGAGAAAGUGGGGGAUCUUCGGACCUCACGCUAUCAGAUGAGCCUAGGUCGGAUUAGCUAGUUGGUGGGGUAAAGGCCUACCAAGGCGACGAUCCGUAACUGGUCUGAGAGGAUGAUCAGUCACACUGGAACUGAGACACGGUCCAGACUCCUACGGGAGGCAGCAGUGGGGAAUAUUGGACAAUGGGCGAAAGCCUGAUCCAGCCAUGCCGCGUGUGUGAAGAAGGUCUUCGGAUUGUAAAGCACUUUAAGUUGGGAGGAAGGGCAGUAAGUUAAUACCUUGCUGUUUUGACGUUACCAACAGAAUAAGCACCGGCUAACUUCGUG